GCCUCUACCUUCAAUUCGAAAAAUUACUCUUAAUUCUUUAGUGAGCACUAGAACCCAAUAGAUCGCAUAUAGGCCCGAGUGUGGCUCGGCUAACCCAUAUGCACCUAUUGGUAGGUUCUAAACCAGUUGCUUCACCAAGCAACUUCUAGUGAUAAUUUUGCCCUAGGUUCUUCGACAGGCGUGUGGCGCCUCCACCGAAUACCCUAGUCAGGUCCAACCAUUAAAUGAUAGGGUUAAGUCUAAUCAACUAAUAAACGACCAAGCCCGAGUGUGGCUCGGCUCACCUGACCGCCUAUUGAAGGUACAC
rnacentral:lncRNA from 1 species